CGGCCGGUGCCAAAUAUAUAUGGCUAGAGCCGGAGUAACCUGACAAUUCCCUACCUGAACCAGCAGGUUCCGGUCGCGUUGAGCAAUGGUUUGGAAGAUCCGUGCUCAAAAUAGGACUGGGCUUAUAGUUUAUAUGUGAAUCUUUUGAUUUUAUAACAAGGAAUUUAAUGGCGAAAUGAUGAUGUUGAUGUUGAUGUUGAUUUCAGUUGGGAAACAUUAAUGGAGUCACAGGCUUUGACUGCUCAAACCCUGUAUCUCCGUACUACCAAAAAUUUUCCAAUUGACCCACCCCUACCCAGCUUCCCCUGUC
rnacentral:lncRNA from 1 species